CCCUGCCAUUUGUACACACCGCCCGUCGCUACUACCGAUUGAAUGGCUCAGUGAGGCCUUCGGACUGGCUCAGGAGGGUUGGCAACGACCCCCCAGAGCCGGAAAGUUGUCCAAACUCGGUCAUUUAGAGGAAGUAAAAGUCGUAACAAGGUU
rnacentral:rRNA from 1 species